CCUACGGGAGGCAGCAGUAAGGAAUCUUGGUCAAUGGCCGGAAGGCUGAACCAGCCAUGCCGCGUGAAGGUCAGUGCCCUAUGGGCGUUAAACUUCUUUUGUGCGGGAGCAAUAAUGGUCACGUGUGGCCAGACGAGAGUACCGUACGAAUAAGCAUCGGCUAACUCCGUGCCAGCAGCCGCGGGAAUGCGGGGGAUGAAAGCGUUAGCCGGAUUUAGUGGGUUUAAAGGGUGCGUAGGCUGUGAUGUAAGUCAGCGGUGAAAUGCCCCCGCUCAACGGGGUGAAGUGCCAUUGAUACUGGCUUGCUGGAGUGCGGAUGCCGUGGGAGGAAUGUGUGGUGUAGCGGUGAAAUGCAUAGAUAUCACACAGAACACCGAUUGCGAAGGCAUCUCACGAAUCCGCGAUUGACGCUGAUGCACGAAAGCGUGGGUAUCAAACAGGAUUAGAUACCCUAGUAGUC
rnacentral:rRNA from 1 species